UCCUGUGAGCUGAAAAUGAAAAUUCACUCUUUGUACUUUGAAUUGACCAUUUGCACUCACAUAAAUGGAACUUAAAGGAAUAUAGUCUCACCCUCCAGUUUAAUUUUAUACUAACAGCUGUAACAUAGGGUGGAAAUUGUUUUCAUCCCAAGGCUUUGCUGUACAUCCUUCUGUUAAUUUAGAAAUGGCAGUUUCACUUUUAAUGGCCAUUGUGGCAUCAAGAAAUGCGUGAAACAGAAGAAAUGGUUGCUAUUUUUAUGUGGUCUGCAAUAACUAGUUUUCCAUACCCUGAAUCCUGGCUUCUCUGCCCAGUACUUGCUAUUUAGAGAGCCCAAAUGGCAUCAUUAAUAAGACCUCUAAGCAAGGAAUAGUGGCAUUUCAUGGCACACUAACUGUGAUUAAAAAAUACAGUUUCUACAUUUUUCUCUAAGUAAAACUUAGAAAGGACUGACGUGGAAAAAAUGUGUAUUUGACAGAAGGAAAAGAACAAAUGACAGUGAAAUAGAAUAAUUCCAAACUUCAGAAAUGUAUUUUAAUUUUUAAUGCUUCUAAUUGCAAAGGAAAAAUAGUCACAUUUUUCUCAUUUUGAUAUGUUAGCAAUAAUUGCUGAAGAAGACUGACUAAUAGCAAGGUAGCCUUAAGGAAGGAAGAGCAAAUAAAAUGAAGUUUUUAUUAACAUGAAUAAGGAUCAUUUUAUUAUAGGAAACAGGAGUCUGAAUCACCUACCUGACAAAAACAGCCUUAGUUGAAUUGGCCAUGAAACAAAUGUAAAAUAUAGAAUCAUAAUAAAAGUGCUGGAAUGUUUUCUUAGAGGCAGUCCAAUCCUGUGUUGUGAGCCAAGCUAUCACCACACUACUUGUGACACAUGCUUGUCCUGUCUGGAGGCUCCACCUGCAAUCUCUUCCAUUGUUGAAUUGUCAUUAUAGUUGGGGAGUUUCCUAAUGCUCAAUUAAACUUGUGUUGCUGUAAUUUCAGCUUUUGUAGGCACAGAGAAGAGUUUAUUUCCUUCCACCAAUGCGCUGUCUUUUCCCAUCUUCUGCACUAAAUAAUCCCUAUCCUUUCCCACUUUCUCUAGGCCAUGUCCUUUGGAAGUCUGAUGAUUAUUCUGCUCUUUGGCAUUUCUUCCAACUUUUCCACAUCUCUCUUGAGCUGCUGGUACUUUAGAUGAAGCCUUACUGGUGUGAAAUGGUUUGGACAGAUUCCUGUGUCUUCUGUGCAAUACUCCUGUUAAGUGCCUUGGUAUCAUCUUUGCUUUGCAGCUGUAAGAUAUUGUUGACUCACACUGUGCUUGUAAAUGAAAUAACAACUUGGGCCUCAAUUCUGUUUGUGGUAUUUCACAUGCAGAAACAAAGCAAGCUGGCAUUUAGCAUCACUCUUGCUAAUCUCAUGUCUCAUUCUCCUACUCAAGAAAUUAACACAAGUAGCCUUUUAUGGAGGGAAGUAUUUAAAUGCUGCCCAUCAGUGAGGAAGAGUGUUUAGGAGCUCAACAGAUCCCUCAGUGGUUGUCCUGAAUUUCUGAAUUUCUAAUGUCUCAGAAGACUCAUUAUUAAUACCCAAAAAUAGCCAGAUGGCAUGAAACAGUAAAGGCCAAAUAAUUCAUCAUUCUACAGACUUGCAAUGGACUGGCCCCCAGAAAAAUCCGGGAUGGUUGAAAAUCUUUUCAUGUGCUGCAGGAGACAGCUCAUGCUGGAGCACCCAGAUCAGGUGCUUGUGAAAUCACCUGUUAUUUCAUGAAAGCCCAAUAGUUGUGAUGUUAUUUGUGUUAUUUUAAUUCUUUUGAUUCAAGCUGAUAACCAAUUUGGAGGUUACUGAGUUGCUUGUGCUACAUGAUGGUGCUAGACAUGGCCUUGAUGAAGUCCUGUUUAUUUAUGAAGCAUGAAAAAGUCUUCUUUCCUAGAAUGUUGGGUUAAGUAAAGCUCAGACUUUGCACAGUGUUUUGACUAAGGCCAGUGUUUUAACAAAAAUAACCAGCAAAAGUGCACUCUCAAAGUUUCCUCUUGCAUCAGCAGACACAAAAAGCCAUUUUCCUUUCUCCCUCUGUCCCUGACAUGUGCACGUGUUUGGGUUUUAUCUCACACAGACACAAAGCUCCAGGUUUCAAAUGCCCUUUUUGCACUUUCAGCGUAAGCCUCAAGGGAAGCCAUGCGAAUAAUGUGCAAUGUACAGAAGCUUUGCUAUGUGCCUGUCAUUGUUUCAGCUCUCUGAUUCUAGAGAGGUAUUUGUUAGUCUUUUUGGGCUUAUUUUAAGGAACAGUUAUGGUUACCCACCAAUUUCUGUGAAUUUCCAUGAAACAGAUCUUCAUUCCAGCUUAGCAGGACAUUCACACCAGUAAUUUGAAUACUGGUUUUACCUAAAUGUCUCCAGUAACACAUGUUGAGGGUGCAUCAUUCUUUUUAGGGUCUUUGUAUUUACUUGUUCUGAAAACCAGCCUUCCUCCCUGGUGUAUCGAGCACAUAUGCUUGCUGCCUGGACUAGUUUUGUACAUUUUAUCUUUGUAUUUAUUUCCUUGUGUGAAAAUGGGCAUUUUGAACAAUAGGAUACCAUAUGUGGCACAUGGUGAGAUCUGAAAGCCUUAAUUUUAAAACCAAUUACAUCCUAAAUGCAUCUGUCAAGUGAAUGGAAAACCUCUACAUCAAGUAGGGCUGACAAAAGAGAUGAAGAUGUAAUUGCUUCUGGUUUAGUCUAUUUUCUUCAGGAGGUUUAAAGCCUUUCCUGGUGGUCCUUGGGUGGUUCCCUGCAUCCCACUGACUUGCUCCAAUGGACUGAAUAAAUCAUUUUAUCUUUGGGCACAGAUAAUGGCAGUUUUUACCUCCACUGGGUGUCAAGAGGCUAAUGUGCACAGUGUAUAUCAACUACAAGAAUUUGCUUAUUAUGGUCAUUGCAGGCAAAAUGCUGGGAGCUGCUAAUUGGACAAAAUGGAGAAACA